rnacentral:rRNA from 1 species
GACGAACGCUGGCGGCGUGCCUAAUACAUGCAAGUCGAGCGCAGCGGCGGCUGGGUGAGUCACGCGUAGGUAACCUGCCCUUAAGUCUGGGAUAUCAUUUGGAGACAGAUGCUAAUACCGGAUACUUAAGGAUGGCCCUGCGAUGCAUUAGCUAGUUGGUAAGGUAACGGCUUACCACGGCGAUGAUGCAUAGCCUAGUUGAGAGGCUGAUCGGCCACAUUGGGACUGAGACACGGCCCAAAUUCCUACGGGAGGCAGCAGUAGGGAAUCUUCCACAAUGGACGAAAGUCUGAUGGAGCAACGCCGCGUGAGUGAAGAAGGUUUUCGGAUCGUAAAGCUCGGUUGUUGGUGAAGCGGUAAUCAACCAGAAAGUCACGGCUAACUACGUGCCAGCAGCCGCGGUAAUUC